UUGAUUUGUCCAUCUUUCUGGACAUUCAAUUUUUUUCCUUUUGCAUUUAUCUCUCAGGUUUGGCCUAAACGCAGAGAUGGUGGGUGGCACAUGAUGCUAAUUGAGUUUUAUCUCUUCCUUAGGUUGAGUACAGGGAGUCACACGGAAGGACAACAGCCAGAGCGUCACUUGAUAUCCAUCCUUGCAAAAAAAGUUUGAUCCAACCAAGCUGCGAGGAUUUUAGAUUAUCAUGCAAAUCAACUACUAUCAGUUUGAUAUGUAUGAAAUCAGGGAUGACGAAAGUCCAGAUCAGUACAAUAUGCUCACCUGAUCUGUGAGAUAAUUAUAGUAACCUUAUUCCUUUGUAUUAUCUUCAUAAAAAAAAAGCAAAUUGAUUUCUGGUCCACCUCAGUUGGAACUUCGGAUGCAAUUCAGAACAUCCUACAUUAAGAAAAAGUCAGAUUAAAAGUAUAAAAUUAUAGCUCUUGACAAAUGAUUAACCUACACUCACCAGCGUGUUAGUGUGUUUUAUUUUCAGAAACGAGCCAGUCCCAUAAUUUUUCCAAGGUGUAUUUAUCUGUUUCAUACUAGGCAAGAUGCAUAAUACAAAUUUAACAAUUUCAAGGGUGGCAUAGUCGCACAAAUAUUGUUGCAGGUCUAGCAGUAAUCUAAAAACGUACCAUUUUUGUUUACAUAUGGUUUUCUAAUCAGCAGUGAUUAGUAAGAAUUGAAAGCUAGGACAAGUACUGUCAAGUAGUGUAGAGUUUUUUUUUUGAAUUUUGUAGUGUAGAGUUUUGUUUCUUAACGAAGGAGCUAUAUCCAAGUUCAAGUAGUGUUAUGUGUUAAUAAUUAAAUCCAAGGUCACCAUGUGAUGGCUAGCCAUUUGAAGUUAAUGCCUCCGAUGGUCGUCUGUUAAUGCAUAUAUUUCUGAUAUUGCAGCGGAAAGAAAUAGUGGCUGCUCGCCCAUCAAAUGUUUGUAGGAGAAGGUUUCAGUAGCAAGUCGUUGGACGUCCACAGCGCCGGCUGGAUGGACCUGCUGAUGUUUGAUAAUUUGGUUCUUAGCAAAUUUGCUCUGUUCAGUUAUAUCUAAAGCCUAAAGGUAGGCCAGACCAACC